rnacentral:lncRNA from 1 species
UUCAGCCUCUAAUUAAAUUUCCACCAUUUUUGGUGAUUUUUCAAAGUCACACAACUGUUGCUGUCUAAACUGUUUUGUUGCUAAAUGUACUCUUUCAUAAUUUCACUUUUUCACUUUCAAUCACAAUUCAAUUCAAAAUUCACUUUUCCAUUUCUAAGUCGAUAUUCAAUUCAGUUCCACACCUAUAUUCAUUAUUCAAUUACACUUAGUCAAUUUCCCGUUGAACACUCGGAAUAUACAUAGAUACGUAGAGAAUUAGCACAUAAGUGCCACACUGAUAUGUAGCCGAAGCUACCACUGAUACGUAGCCGAAGCUACCACUGAUACGUAGCCGAAGCUACCACUGAUAUGUAGCCGAAGCUACCACUGAUACGUAGCCGAAGCUACCACUGAUACGUAGCCGAAGCUACCACUGAUACGUAGCCGAAGCUACCACUGAUACGUAGCCGAAGCUACCACUGAUCAAUAACACUGGAAAUGUCCACGGGCCUGCUCACACAAGCUGUCAGGUGUCUGCAACACAUGCUAGAUCACCCAGCACCCGGGACUCACUGUAACACUGUAACACUGAUCUCUAGUGACAUGUCACUUGUAUCCACUUCUAUUCCUAAGUUCAACCGGGAAUUUACACUUAACACUUUAUUUUAAAC